GACGAACCGUGCGAACGUUGCUCGGAAUCACUGGCGUAAGGGCGUGUAGGCGGUAGAUAAGUCGGCGUGAAUCCUAGGCUCAACCUAGGAACUGCACUCGAAACUGUUUAUCUUGAGUGCCGGAGAGGAAAGCGGAAUUCCUGGUGUAGAGGUGAAAUUCGUAGAUAUCAGGAGGAACACCAGUGGCGAAGGCGGCUUUCUGGACGGUAACUGACGCU
rnacentral:rRNA from 1 species